GUGAGGAAUAUUGCGCAAUGGGCGAAAGCCUGACGCAGCAACGCCGCGUGGGCGAAGAAGGCCUUCGGGUUGUAAAGCCCUUUUCUGAGGGACGAGGAAGGACGGUACCUCAGGAAUAAGCCUCGGCUAACUACGUGCCAGCAGCCGCGGUAAAACGUAGGAGGCGAGCGUUAUUCGGAUUUACUGGGCGUAAAGCGCGUGCAGGCGGUUUCGCAAGUCGGACGUUAAAUCUCCUGGCUUAACUGGGAGGGGUCGUUCGAAACUGCGGGACUUGAGGUCGGGAGAGGGAAGCGGAAUUCCCGGUGUAGUGGUGGAAUGCGUAGAUAUCGGGAGGAACACCUGUGGCGAAAGCGGCUUCCUGGCCCAAACCUGACGCUAAGACGCGAAAGCGUGGGGAGCGAACGGGAUUAGAAACCCCAGUAGUCC
rnacentral:rRNA from 1 species